UUGUUCUUCAAAAAGUAGAAAAAUAAUAAUCGGUGUUAGAGUUUAGAUAAGUGUCUAUUUAAAUAUAUUUGAUAUUUUUGUCCGCUAGUCAGAACAGCCCACUUGAGGUUGUCGCGGCUUGCGCUCGGCAACCAACGUUAGAGCGUGGUCAUGUCUGUCUGGUGAACAAAUCAUUUAAAGUCUGAUCAGCGUUAUCUUUAUUAGAAAAGUAAUCGAUGUUUAAAUAUAUUGUUAUUUCAAAUCAAUAGACUGAAUGUUAUACAAGGUAGUGUAGUGUACAUAUUCAGAGAUAUAAUAUCGAUGUGUUGACUAGUGUAUACUGUGUUAGUAAUAUUAUUAAGAAAAAACAAUUGUCUUCGAAUGCUGAAAAACAAGUAGUUCACAUAGAAUAACAGAUAUGUUUAUACAUACGUCUGUCAAUUAUAGAACGUAUAUCUUGCUUGUAAAUACUAUAUCAGUGUAUAUAGGCGUCUAUCAGUGUAGUAGGAUUCUAGAAUAAUGUUAGGUGACCAUCGUUCGCACUAGUUAAGUCAUCACUCCUGAUUACUUGCAACCGGCGCUGGUUCUUAACACGCUUUUACUAGCAUCACUUGUAAAUAACUAUGUUAGAAAAUCUUGGAAUCAAAAUUUUUAUCAACAGCCGUUCCGUCUGAGCUGUUGACGUAUUCCAAGUCGAGCCGAAACCCUAAAGAAGGAAAACGUAUUUAUUUCAAAUCACAGGUACCUGAAACAAACUCACUUAAAUAAGCUACGCAUACGUUUUAUUUCAUAACUUGUUACGUUAUUAGUUUCAUAAUUUGUCCUCAUAAAUACUAAGUCAAUCCAGUCUGAUAUAAAAUCUGUAUGGAUCCAAUCUAAGUACCUGAAUUUAAAGAUAAAAAUAAACUUCUGAAAAUAGACUGACAAAUACGCGCGUCAAUUUCUUAUUUUUUAACUUUUCUCAGGGUAUUUUAAAUAAAAUCUCGACAUAAUUUAGGUUCAGAAAUAAAGUUAAAUUAAUAAAAAAUAGUUUCGACCUUUUGGAAGUUUUUAACUUUCUACACUUUUUCAAACUUUACGGCGAUCUCUUGUAUUAGGUAGUCAACAAAAUUAAAAUUAGAAUUCAUACAAAUAUAAGUAGGAUUUUUUUUGUCCGAUAACUGAAGAUCUUAUACAAAAAUUCUUACGUUGACGUAAGAAAACUUACAAGUUAACCAAAUUUCGUUCCGGCACCCGGUGUGGUGGCGGAAACUAAAACUGCUUUUAUCUAUAUAGCAACCAUAACUUUGGUAUAGAUUUAAUAUGUACUCAAAUCGACCUCGUGAGCCUCUUCCAUUUCAAUGUCAUUAAACCAUUUAAAAUGUUUCUUCUAAAAUACAACGUUAUAAACCGACAAUUCGGUCUUAGUUCUGGAAAAUGUAGAAAAACAUCUGUGUUAGAGUGUAGAUAGGUUGGCAUAGAUAUAUUGAAUAUUUCUGUCCUCUAGUAAGAGCAGAUCCCGUGGGGUUGCCGCGCUCUUGCUCAGGGCAACCAACAUUAAAGCGUGGUCUGUUGGUGAAUAGAUUACUUGACGAUUUAUAUUAAUCAAUACACUUAAUGUUACUGGAGUAAGGAUCGUGUAAAUAAUGGACUUAGGUAAUAUCUAUAUAGACGUGCAUGGAUGUUUUACAUACGUGUGUCAUAAUAGGUAUAACUAGAGUGUAAGUUGUUUGUCUAUCUUAUGUUAAUGAGCGUCAGUGUGAUAGUAGACGUAGACUAAUGGUAGUAUUUGUAGGUAGCUUUCAAUAGAAUAUACUAUUGUAUUCGAUUACAAAGUCAGACCCCAGUUAUUUUUAUUAACCGUGAUGAUUUAUAAAUAUCACGGUUUAUCAAUUCUAUUAGGUUACGAAAGUCACCCCCCCCCCCACCCCCCAGUUAUUAAAUUUUUAACUAUAAUUCCAUUAGGUUACGAAAGUCACACCUCAGUUAUUAAGCGUGGUAAUUUUUUAACUAUUAUUAUAUUAAGUUACGUAAAUCACAUCCCAGUUAUUAAAAGAGUGAUAAAUUGUAUAAAGCUAUUUUUUUGGAUUAGGCUAGGUUAAACAAUGUAAUUUAGGGACUAGUAUUUAGAUUCCUACCUCAUACAAAAUGUUUUAGAAUAGUUAAGGCAAAAUAAUAACUUCAACUUGUACAUUCAAAAGUUAUUAUAGGUUAAGUUAGGUGUACUUUAGUAUUAGGUUCUGAGGAGGCAAUAGACAGUGUUCUCUGAACAAAUAUGGUUUCCGCGAUCAGGUCCUGUAGACAAGUAACAUUUACGCGAGCGCUAAAGCUACUGAAUCGCUCUGUCAUGUUGAACUCACAUUCUAUUCGCUACUCGUUUCUCAAGCGAUGCAUCAUUCUUUGUCUAGGCCUUCAGAGGUGUUCGCGUCAAGCGACUUUCACAUUUAUGCCUUUUGGUCCAUGGAUAUACUGUCAAUCGGCUUUUCAGCAAUUAUGUCUAAUUAUCGUACUUCUAGUUAGUUAAGUUAGUUGGUUACGUCUUGUAUAUAUGUAGUGUUUAGUGUAAGACCCCGGCGUAGGGAUGUGACGACCCCAGCGCCCACCAUGGCAACAGCUGCCAGUGCAAUGGUCGCACUCACUGGAGGUGUUGCCGCGGCGCAACAGUCGGCACCAGAUAGCGAGACACUGAGCCUCCGCUAGCAACGUCAUCGGUGCAAAGGCCUGGACUAAUCGGCCAUUGUUUUUUUACUUUUCGUAUUUUGGUUGUGGUGUUCAGUUCGCCCGUUAUGACUCUCCAUAACGGUUUUAUUUCAAACGUCGUUAUUUUAUUUUAGUGAGAGAACGUUCCUACAAUAGUUACAGUUUCUUUCUCGGGUCACUGUAACUUUUGUAGAAGCGUUUGUCAGUACCAUUGCCUCCAAUAACAUCGACGGUGCAAGGGCUAAGAACAUCGGCCAUUUUGUUUAUGUUUUUUCGUGUUUUCGGCGUCGGGAAUGUGACGACCCCAGCGCCCGGUACUGCGCUGAUACAGUGGUGUCACCGUGCCACUGUAGCCCCGAAGUAAUGCACAAGUCUCUAGGUACGGUUUUACUACGUUCAGUAAUUUCAGUUAUUAGCUUCUGUUCUUGUCUCUUUUUGUUGACUUCUCUUAGGUUCAUUUCAGUUGUUACAACGUACCUAGUUCUAAGUUCAAAGUUAUUUGAUUACGAAUUCAUUGUUUUUGUCGUUUUGGUUCAAACGGUGAAGUUAUUUUAGCCUGGGGAAGUGACGACUCCAGUGCCGCUGUGCAAGUGCAGCAAAUACAGUGCUUCUUCAGAUCCACUGUAUUUGAUGUAGAGCACCAAUAAGCACCCUGAGGCAAUGUCUGACACUCUCACGUGUUACGUAUGCUGAGUUAGCUAAGUUCAUUACGAUAUCAUUUACAUACCUUUGAGUUUGUUGAGUUGUCGUCAUAAAGUUUUAAUAUUUAAAAUAAUACUUAACCCGAUUAUGUUCCUCAAUUAAAUUGUUUGAGAGAGUUUGCUAAUUCGGCGUAGAGAUGUGACGGACUCAUCGCCCGUCUGAGCAACGAUUUCAGUGGAUCUGUUUGACCGCUGAAAUCGUUGCGCUCAUGCAAGUAGUCCGCGCCGGGCAAACGUUUUGUUCGUCGCUUUAGUAUUUUCAUUUGCUAGGUAUGUUUGCAUUCGCUGCGUGUUUAGGUUGUUUGUGUUCGCUUCGGAACGGAUACAGUGAUGCGACGUGUGUCGCUGUAUCUGUUUGAGGAGCGCCGUGUCAGCUUGCCAGCUCUGGUGACUGACACCUCUUAGCUAUGCUUUGCGUGUAGGUUCCGUUUCUUACAUUGUUCCUUGCGUAUCCUCGUUUAUUAUACUCAGUUGUUCUAAGUUGGUAUUUAGUUUUUUUCAUGGAAGAAAAAUCUAGCGCAAGUAGCCAUCAGUUGAAUUAUAUAAUUUCGCGUCUUCAUUCUUCAUAAUUUAAUUUUAUUUAAACAAAAUUGCGCUAAGGUGUAUCUAUUACACUUAAAAUCUCAAAUUGAAAAAAAUUUUUGAUGGUGUAUUAGGAUACUGGUAAAAUAAACGAAGUAAAAUAUACUAUACGUAUAGAUUUGACUAAUAUAGAACAAUAUUAAUAAAAUAUUGAGUUACCGUAAGUAAAUAAAUAAAAAAUAUAAUUGGAUAAUUACGUAAGAGUAAAUCAUUGAUACUUAUUAUAGUAAGAAUAGCGACAGUCACAAUAUAGCUGUCAUAACUAACAUAAGAUGGUAGAAUUAAUAAAAUAAUAAAAAACGUUAAAAUCAGAAAAAAAAAUAGUUAGUAAUUUAAGAAUGUUAAUAUACUGUCAGAGGCCGCAAAAGGGAGGAUAAAAUAGACGAAAACAAUACUAGUUAUAGCUUGGCAAAAAAGAGUAUGGAUUUAACGAGGUCGCUAGUAGCGCACAUGUGGCAACCCGGAAUUCUACGAAUAAACGGUUUUGCUACUUGUCAUUUUUGGGGACUUUUUUAAAGUGGGAAGUCAUCUAGUUAUAACUUCUCCCGCUCUAGGGGGAACUACCCGAACUUUGCGAACCUAAUCCUAGUGUACAGGGGUAAUGAAAGGGCAUGAUUUGCUUUAAGAUCUAAAACAACAUAACAGUACUUUAGCAUGAAAUUAAAUUUCACCCUUGAGGAUCAAGUCAUGGGGAAUAGUGAACAUCAUGAUUUGUCAAACAACAAAACAUAACCUCAAUUUAAAUUCCUGGAAAUUUAUUUAAAGCAUAAUUACUUGUUUAGAUCACAUAAAUACCUGUCAUAUCAGCCGUUCUUUGAUAAACAUUGUUGAUAUCGGACAAAACUUGUCCCCUGCGGAUUCGGCUACACACCGCAAAAGAACUUUAUAAAUCACUUCUCUGUCACUACUACGAAUACUCUAAUUCAUUUGAAAUGGUUAAUCAUGCACCAAAAGUUGGUAAAAUCUAUGAAGAACGACUAGAAUACGCACUGUCGACUAAUGUUGUCAAACUCUUAUUUGCCAAGCUAUAAAUAUGUUCUAACUAUAACUGUAAAUAGAGUAUAGAUUAAUUAAGAAUUAAUAUCCAUAGCAAUAUUAAGAAUUAUCAUAACAUGUAGGAAUAACUUGGACUUUUUUACUUUAUUCAAUAAAAUCAGCUUAUUUUGGCCCACUGCGGACAUAGGCCUUCCAUUGGUCGAUUUUUUACUUAGCUUUCUAUUUAUACUUUCAAAUUAAAAUCUGUACGUUUGUUUUGCUGAAACUCGAGAAUUGCCGGACUACUAAUGAAAAAAAAAGCAAAGAAAAGAAUCUAGUUGGAAAUUGUCACUUGCUUAUCAAUUUUAAAUUCCACGAAAUGAAAAGAGAUCUCUCAUUGCAACACUAAAAUUUAAUCAGGCAACGAACAAUGACACCGUGAACCAGUUUGAAUACGAAUCCAUAAGAAUACCAAAAUUAUACCCAGACUAAAAAUUAAGGAAAGAUCUAGUUAUCCUUAUAAUCUAAAAAAAAAUAUAGAACGGUUUCCCUCUAAUAUAACUUCAUUAUCACCAAUAAUACUUCAUUAUCAUCGACAUAAUUCAUCUUCUUCCUCUUCCUCAAAGAAAAGAAGAAUUAAUUACCUUGGGCAAAGAAUCAAAAGCAAUUUCCGAAAAAUAGCACUGGUGGUCAUUUCAGUCCAAGAAUGCACGGAUAGCCGAGUGGUUGAGAUCAUCACGCCUAAUCCACUGUGCGUUUCGUCACAAACAUUAGUGUGAUCCACAAAUGCUUGUUCUGGGUCUGGGUGUCGAUGUACACGUGAUUUGUAUGUUUGAGGAAACCCAGCGACACAAGGCUUAAAUUCGUUACUGCGGGAGUCAAAAAAAUUCAGGUGUCAGGUCCGGCCAAACAACUUGAGUUAUAUCAAUACUACGAACAGCAGUUAACCUUUAGGUAUAGCGUCGCCCCCUACUAUUUUGUGACCUAUUACAUCAUUGGUGAAACACGAAUGAGCAGAAUGGUGACACAUAGAAUUCAGAGGAUUGCAGGUCUUGCGGUUAAUAUGUUUAAGGACUUAGAUUAAGUAUGUGUGUGCUGUGUACGAGUAUGUGUGUGUGAGUACGUGUGUGAGAGCAGUAGGAUACAACAGCGGCGUAUUAAAAGUUAACAUGCAUUAAAAUUUGUAUAUAUGUAGUAUGUAGUGUAUAUUCCAUUUAUUCCAUAAAGAUAUUAUAUUUUUGUAUGCGAUAGAAUUAGUCGGGUACGACGUGACGUUAUUAAUAUGUAGGUGGUAGAGUAAGCAUAUUAGUGUAGUUCUUGAUAUAUCUCUAUAAAAUAUUCUGCAGACAUCCCAAAAUUGAACAUUAUAAAAUAAAAGUACUUGUCAAAAUAUCGGAACUGUUUUCACUCUCUGAAGCUUCUUGAUAACAAAACUAUCAUCUCUAUAAAAAAGAGAAAUAUAAAGAGAUUCUAAAUUUAAAUACAAACAAAAAGAAAAAAUCCUACAGUACAAAUCUAAUUUUGAUACACAAUAUUAAGGUAUUUAAAACUGUUCAUUGAUAUCAAAAUCAUUUUUUUUUAAUUCAUUCAGGCCGUUUUCCAGGCACUUUUAAAACGUUAGUAGUAGUUUGUUAGUAAAUAGUUAUUGUAUAGUUUUAAGGCGAAGACUAGUCUAAGAAGCUGGUCUUUAUACCUCAACGUCUGCAAUCCUUUGUAUAGUAUGUGGUACCGAAAUUUCGUUCAUUCGUUCUUCAUCCGUGAUAAUAGUAGGUCACAAAAAGGGUAGGGGGCGAGACGCGUUUAAUACUUUACGAAAAAUAACAUCCACGACUUUUUGUACUUACAUGCUCUUCAGGUAAACAGUUUACUAUUCCAUCGUCGGUAAACAACGCCAUCUAGUGUAGAAAUAGAAAAAAAAAUCUAAAUGUUGGAUUUAUAGCGACAGAUCUGUACAUGAUUGUAGUAAUAUUUGGCUAUUUUGUUUAGUUAUUCAACGCCGAAGCGUGCCUUAACAUAGAUUUUAUAGAGUGCGCCACUGUCUUUGCAGACUGUGGUGCAAAUAUAACGCCUAUAGACUUAUUCUUUAGCCAGUUAAUUUUUGUACAUUUCGGUAAAUUUCGUGUUUUCCAUUGUUUCGUCGUUCGUUUGGAUUACGUUGAUAAUUGUUGCCUUUAAAUAAUUUCGUCGUUUUAAUAUUCUUUACUUAGGUUUCUAUUAUUCAUUCGUAACAUUUAAAUAUUUUCUCUAAAUAGUUUGAUUUGUAUACGUUUUUAAAUUGAGUUAGUUUUAUUAGGCGCUGACCGGACAACGGAUAAUUUGUUAGUAGAAAUAAAUUAUCACUCAUGGCCUUUGGUUGCCGUUGAAAUUGAUCACGGCAACCAAGAGUUGGGAGAGGUAAUUUGUAUCUACAAAAGUUGUGUGUCUUCCGACCAGCAUCUUAGUCUUUUUCGUUACAUUUUCCGGCGUAGGACGUGACGCACCCACCGCCCGCGGCGGCAACAGCUGCAGUGUCGUCACUGCAGGUGUUGACGCGGUGCAAGCAGUCGGCACCAGGAGCGAGCCGCUACCAGCGGCGCCCAGGUGGCGGGGCGAGCGCGGCGGAGCUCUUGGUGACACUCGAAAACAUGCCUUGUAGCUGUCGUUAUAAGGCCCACUAAUGUUUGGCAAGAGAUGUCAUCUUAUGGUUGCCCAUUGGUGACGUCAUAGUUUGUCCAACAUUAGUGGCCUCCAUAAGGACAGCUCGCAGCUCUCGAGUGUCACACAGAGCUCCCCGCGCCCCGCCACCUGCGCGCUUGCCCCGCGGCUGCGCGCGCUACAUCGUCGGUGCUUCGGCCUGGACUAUUCGGCCGCAAGUCAGUGACGCGAAAGACAACCUUACUCCAUCUUAAUAAGGUUUUAUUCUAGGACUACACGUAUUCUGAUAAAAACCAGCAACUCACGGCGGCGUAUAAAAUUUCUCAAAAAUCAGAUAAGAAUUAGUCCUAUUGAUAAAUCAUGUCUAAAUUAAUCUAAAAUAAGUCUAAAUUUUAUUUUGUAAAAAUUAAAGUAUAUAGUAAUAUACUUAUCGAGUGCUUAUCGAAUGGGGACUUGUGCAACACAUGUUAACUGAAGCGAAUAUUUUCACAAUAUUUGCGCUUACCAAAAACUGGUAUACGUAAAACAGGUAUACUGGCAGGCGAGUGCACUUUUAGUUGUGGCCUCAAAAAUAAACUCAUAAGCACCAAACAAAAACACAAAUGAAAGAUUUAGUAAUUGAUAAUUACAAUGUACACCAACUUAACAAUAAACGUAAUAAUGAUAUUGCGAAUUAAAAUUGAUCUAUUCGGCUGUACCAACUAAACUUUCACAGUGAAGGUUUCAUAUUAUACCGAAAUUAUUGCAAAAAAAUUAGGCGUGCCUCAAAUAAAAUCCUGUAUCGAAUCAUAAAAAUUUCCUUUGCAAAGAGAGAUGAUCCCGGCGUAGGACGUGACGCACCCACCGCCCGCGGCGGCAACAGCUGCAGUGACGUCACUGCAGGUGUUGACGCGGUGCAAGCAGUCGGCACCAGGAGCGAGCCGCUACCAGCGGCGCCCAGGUGGCGGGGCGAGCGCGGCGGAGCUCUUGGUGACACUCGAAAACAUGCCUUGUAGCUGUCGUUAUAAGGCCCACUAAUGUUUGGCAAGAGAUGUCAUCUUAUGGUUGCCCAUUGGUGAUGUCAAAGUUUGUCCAACAUUAGUGGCCUCCAUAAGGACAGCUCGCAGCUCUCGAGUGUCACACAGAGCUCCCCGCGCCCCGCCACCUGCGCGCCUGCCCCGCGGCUGCGCGCGCUACAUCGUCGGUGCUUCGGCCUGGACUAUUCGGCCGCAAGUCAGUGACGCGAAAGACAACCUUACUCCAUCUUAACAAGGUUUAGGGACUACUCACACACAUUCAGCUUUAUUCAGCUCAUGUCCAUAGAGAGCAAUGACUUUCUAUGGACAUGAGCCGAAUAGAGCUGAAUAAGUGUGAGUAGUCCCUUAGUCUAUCACUGACGUUCAAACGCCUGCACUGAAGGCAAUUGUUAGGUUAUUAUUGUUAUAGUGUUGUUACAUAUUUAACUGUUACAUUUGAUACACGGCGGCGUAAAUAAAAUCUCAAAAAAUCAGAUACUUCUAUUGAUACAGCAUGUCUAUAUAAUAAAAAAACAACAUAAAGUUAAAAGUAUAUUGUUAUACUUAUCGAAUGGGGACUUUGCAACACAUGUCAACUUAAGAAAAUAUUUUCACAAUAUUUGCGCAGAACAACCUUUGGAAAACUGGCAUACUGUUAGACGAGUGCAAUUUAUCUGCGGCCUCAAAAAUAAUCACAUAAGAAACAAAUUAAAUCUGAAAUGAAAUAUUCAAUAAUGGAUAAUUACAAAUUGUUAACCAAAUUACUAAAAAAAAAAACAAUAAUUCUAUUGCAACCUAAAAUUGAUCUAUUCGGCUGUAACAACUAAACCUUCGUAGUGAAAUGUUCAGAUGAAAAAUUAUUACUUGAAUAAUAAGCGUGCCUCAAAUAAAAUCCUGUAUCGAAUCAUCAAAAACGCUAAUUUCAAUAGAACCUAGCAGUUUCGGAGAAUUUAUAAUAAUUGAAAAAUUCAUUUGCACAAUUUCAACCCUGAAUAUUACGUCAGGCUCAAAUAGUGUCUUAACUCAAAAAACAAAAACAGAUGUACUUGCGUAAUAUCUUCAAAAAAACCAUGGAUGCGUUUGCCAAAAAAAAAUCUAAGAGAAAUAUCCUAGCUAGUUACUACGACAUCUUAAAAAACAAAAUCUCCUGUAAGUCAGUCAAAUAAAAAUUGUCCAUGGAAGUUGUACCAAACGUUCGAAAUAAAAAGUAAUUUACACAUUGAACGUACUUUAAACUUGCAAUCUGAAUUUCGUAACUCUCGACUACAUAAUGGUGCAAGCAGAAUUUCGAUGUACCCAGUUAAAAUAAUACAAAAUCUAAAAUAAAAUAAAAAUAAUCAAGUCAGGCACAGAAGGUUGAAUCCUUUAAGAACAAAAAGUUAGUCUAAUAUCAAGAAGUAAAGUUGUUUUUGUUGAAACUGUUAAAUUAGGUAGUUACAUCUAGUUGAGUUGUUGUUAAGGGAGAUGAUCCCGGCGUAGGACGUGACGCACCCACCGCCCGCGGCGGCAACAGCUGCAGUGACGUCACUGCAGGUGUUGACGCGGUGCAAGCAGUCGGCACCAGGAGCGAGCCGCUACCGGCGGCGCCCAGGUGGCGGGGUGAGCGCCGCGGAGCUCUUGGUGACACUCGAAAACAUGCCUUGUAGCUGUCGUUAUAAGGCCCACUAAUGUCUGGCAAGAGAUGUCAUCUUAUGGUUGCCCAUUGGUGACGUCAUAGUUUGUCCAACAUUAAUGGCCUCCAUAAGGACAGCUCGCAGCUCUCGAGUGUCACACAGAGCUCCCCGCGCCCCGCCACCUGCGCGCCUGCCCCGCGGCUGCGCGCGCUACAUCGUCGGUGCUUCGGCCUGGACUAUUCGGCCGCAAGUCGGUGAUGCGAAGGACAACCUUACUCCAUCUUAAUAAGGUUUAGGGACUACUCAAACUCAUUCAGCUCUAUUCAGCUCAUGUCCAUAGAGAGUAAUGACUUUCUAUGGACAUGAGCCGAAUAGAGCUGAAUAAGUGUGAGUAGUCUCUUAGUCUAUCACUGACGUUCAAACGCCUGCACUGAAGGCAAUUGUUAGGUUAUCAUUGUUAUAGUGUUGUUACAUGUUCAACUCUGUUACGUUUGACUUUUUUAGCAAAUUUGUUAAUCAUUAUUAGGCACAAUUAUUAUGUUACACUAGUGAAUAAAAUACAUUUAACAAUAGUUAGAUCAUUGACUUAGGACACUAUUUGAGCGAAACCGUGAACCGUUUUAAACAUCUGGUACAAACUCUACAACUCUCAAAAAAGACUUUCUCAAUAGAAUAAGUUAUAUUAAAUAGUAGUAAGGACAUCCGUUUUCCCUACGAGAAAACGUUACACAAAGACGUAGUAAAGUGAAAAUAAAGUAGGCUUACUGGUUAAUCAUAAUACAAAUGAACCUAAUUAGAUUUAAGAUCGUAUGUGUGUAGUUCGUGUGAAAAAAACAAAAAAAAAAAAAACAAAAAAAAAAAACAAAAGAAAAAACAAAAAAAAAACAAAAAACAUAAAAUGUAAAUAGGUGUUACCAAAAAAAAUAUAAAAUCAAAAUAUACAAAAAAAUGUAGUAUUAAGGCAUGUCAUCAUAUAAUCAUUUAGAGGUAGUUGACUUAAUCAUAUAACUUAGAUAACUGUAGUUUAAGAAUGUGAGUUCUUGUAAGAAUGCUAGGUAUGUGUAGGAGUGUAGGUGUAAGUCUCGUUCCCCCUAUCCGCGAGUAUCGUAUAUAUCUUGUAUCAUCUCCUGUGUAUGUGUGUGGUGUGUCUCGAUCUAGAAAUGUCUAUGCACGGUCGUCUUCGUGAUGUAUAUUUGCCCCCAACCAAUGUGUUCAAGAGUUAAAAGAGUACGUGUGCUUAUCCACGUCGUUGUAUUAAAGUUUAUUAAAUGUUUAUCGGUGAGUCCGAAUUCUAUCUGGCCCCCCUUCCUCCCAAUUUGUUUUUCGUACAUUCAGUUUAGGAUUGUGUUUCUCUUGUAUCCCCUUUGAAAAUUUCGUCUCGGUUCACAAUGUUAGGUAACGGUUAACAGUCAGUAUUCAAAUGAAACAAUAGUAUGCGCUUAACGCAAAAUUGUACUUCAAAUUCGUAACAAAAGUAAAAAAUAUUAAAACAUUCUUAACUCUGACACAAAUGUCCAAAAAUCUCAAGUCUCUCUCCAUCAAUAAUAUUAGGUUCGUAUAAAUUUUCUCAUCAUCAUGAAGUGGACAGUGUGUUUAGACUAGUUUUGAUGCCGACGGCAACCUUUUGACCUCAAUCGGCGCAACAAUUUGUUCAGCUGUCAGGAAUAAGGACGGGUUACUCUUGGUUUGCCGUGAACAAUUCCACGGCAACCAAAAGUUAAUCGUCUUAGACUGGCGAACAAAUUUUGCGUCUUCAGUUCAGCGUCCAAUCGUGGUAACAUCUCAUGAUUAAGGGCCAUAGAGGUCUAAUACCAACUCUUCGAGUGUGGCUGUGUUGGUUGUGGAAUCGUGACGGUGCUUCAUUAUGUAGAGCGGCUUUUCGCUUGCAAUACAUGAUGUUUAUCGCCAUCGUGCUACCACAACCAUUACCGACUGUACUUCUUCAAGAGUUGGUGCUAGACCCCGUCUCGGUACAAACUAGUCAGGCAUCUCGUAUGACACCGUGUGGCUACAGUUUCAAACAUCCUGUGCGAUUAUAGUUUUCGUAUAGUUCACGUCCCAUCUUUAAAGCCCCUUCUUUUUUGUACUUGACAUGUUAAUUUGAAUAUCGGACCAUACUUAGGAUGUAGUUUCAUUAUCAUAUAGCAUUAUAUACAUAGGUGUAGAAUUAAUUGUGUUUAUUGGAUCUAGGUUAAGGUAGGGGUUAGUUAGUUUUAAUCACGUUUUAUUAUAGCUUGGUGUUCUAGGUCUAAGUAGGUUUAGAAAUAGCUUUUCUGUACCACACUGACAAAAAUUCAAAAACCAUGGAAUAAAGGAUAACCAAAAAACAUGGCCGCGCCGUAUCGAAACCAAACAUAAGCCAUUAGGUCCAUACUAUCAGGAACCUAGAGUUCAGGCAACCAGCGCAGUAAAACUACAACCACAAUAGGCAAUAGACAACCGCCAUCCCUCCGCCUUCAGGCUUUCAAAUUCCAAAGAAAAAACAUAUUCGGGGAUGUCGGCCAUCCAAUUCGACCUAAUAGGAACAUCUAUAGAGCUCAAAAUGAAAUACCCUUAUGAGGCUCGUGCAAUCACCGCUGUUACAUCAAGCGUGUGCUCGUCUUGUGCGUUAUGCUAAAACGUACACUUUCGGACAAACAAUCAGUAUGAACAACUAAAAAAUCCCCUCGCAACCGGACUAGCCUUCAAUGAGGGGUGCCCUGUCAGUCUUGUCUUACUAAAUUCAACGGCCGCAGUCAUCAAAAAACCAUCUUCAAAUUUAAAAAUUACAAUUACACUUGAAUUCAAGAAAUCAUAGUUUCUGGUCUAAACUGUAGGCAUAUUAUAAAAAAAAUAUUACUAAACAACUGCUGUAACUAUCGAACGAGAACGUCAAAUCUAAAACAACUUUAACAGUUAAGACACGAAAUUUGUAAAAAUAUGACAUAAGUAGACUAUACUCUAUAAUAAAUUAUAAUGAUCAAAUUAUUUCGCUAAGACACUGACAUCCUAUAAAAUUGACAACUAAUUGAAUCGCUUUGAAAAUUAUGCUAUCAAAUAUCUGAUUAAUCCAAGUCUUGCCGAGUCACUGUAAUCGUUCAAUGUGACCGCAAAUAAAACAAAAAAUGACAUUUUGAAUUGUAAAAAUUCUUCCCCCCCCCCCUCUCUCUCUCCUCCCACCUGAUUGACUAUACUAUGCUGUACAAACAUAAAGAGACUCCCAAUACCCAAUAUGACAAACUAUAAUAAGAGAUACACUGAUAUCAUGCCGCCUUUGUCAUUCUCCAGCGGAAUGACGAAGACAGCAUGGUAUCCUAGAGUGACUCACAUUAUAGUGACUUUUUUGACUGACAACAAAACCAUGACGCGACUUUGACAGCCUGUUGUAGGCUCCGGAUUCGACACCUAUUUACUUGAACAAAAACGCCCUACUGAUUACAAAUAUAUACAAACAAUCUUCAAUAAUACAGACGGUCCCAACCUUCGUCUGUUAUGAAAAAACCAGCUUCAGAAAAACCGUGUCUCUGAACCCAAACCAACAACCGGUUAUACUACAAAAUCAGACAUCUGCCCCCAGUAAACAGGGUUCUAGGGCUGGGCAUUCCAUGAAGUAAAUAGCAAAGAACUGUCGUCAACGAACCAUACCAUCGUUCUGUAAUGCUAAAUACUAAAGCAUUUAUACCAAGGAUGUGACUAAAAUUGUUUUUUUCAUUUGUUCUAUUUGUAUAUGUUUGACAGCUAGCUCGAGCUAGUAGCGCUAAACAGCAAUGCGUAUUGUCGGCUGAAUGCGAGUGUAAAUAUCGCUGGCGUCGAUUUAUUAUGUUAUCAUCUGAGUUGUUUAUAUUUAAACAGUACACCGCGAACAAGUCGAUGCGGGAAUCGUAUAACAUCUGUGGUCUACUCCCACUACAAACUCUUAAAGCAGGACUGAUGCCGUUGUUGUAGAAGCGAGGCACCACAAUACAUGCGCUUUGUGGCGGCUUGCUUCCACAACAGCAUCAGUAACCGCUUUGAGAGACCUCAUAGGAAGGGUAGAUUGCUUCUAUUGACGCUUGCGUCACACGCAGCGAUAUCGACCUCUAUUGCUGCUUCUGCUCACACAAUACAACAAACCGCGCCGACUGCUCAUGGCGUACUGUUUAAACUUCUGUUUUAACUGUGUUCCUUCCAACCUCCACAGCUUCGCAAAUUAACACAGUUCUCUUCGCCGUAUCGGAAAAGAAAACAAUGUUAAACUGCGAAACGUAUAGAAAAAGUUUAUUUUUCGAAACAAAAAGACUGAUUUCUUACAAAUUACACUUUUGAUCUCUAUAUUUUUUUUUAGUAGUAAAUUAAUGUUUGGUUAUCCCUGAUCUACCAAUAACAUCUAUCGAGCUUAGAGCCUGGAAAGAAGGCUUCUAAUUAACAGGAUUAUCGGAUUCUGAAGACAUGAGGAAGUUGCAAAAUUGAGUAAAAAUUAUAUAUGUACUUUGAAGACUAGCUAAGUCUCACGUUUCUGUAUAACGAUUGGGAAUAUCACCGGACUAUCAUACUAACUUAACCUCCUAUUGUAAUUGGGAGAUUGAUCUCGUUGAAAGUAAUUAUAAAUUAAGUCGUAAUCAUAUUAAAUUGUAGUACUUAAUCCUUGUUAAUUAUAGGUCGUUUGUGGUGGCACUGGUAUUGGUAUGUGCCGGUAAUUUUAUUAACAACAAAUCGAAUUAAACGGUAGCUGCUGUAAUGUAUGUGCUUAAAUGUAAUCUAAAUUAUAAUUAUUGUUAAUUAGAGAGGCAAGUUUCGAGACUCCCGUUUAGAUAAUAAGUUUAUCACUCCUAUCUCCUUUCCUAUAAACCAAAAAUGAAUAUUUUUUGAUUAUAUUUUUUUCUACCUUUUCUAUACUAUCUUCUACACAUCACUCGGUUUCCCGACGAUCUUUCGAUGCGGAAUGGACACUGUUACCUCCUAUUUAGACCUUCCCACUAAUACUAAAUAUUAAGACAAAACUUAGGCAUUUUGUGUGUGGUUUGAAACUUUUUAUUUGCAUUUUAACGGCGCCAGCUCCUUCGUGGCGGCGUGUCCACAAUGUAUGAUGGAUAAAGUUAAGAUAGUCCGUGCUAAAACACGUUGACUUAGUAGCUGUAAGGCGUGUAUCACUAGGUUUAAGAUAGAUAUAUAUAAAGGACGAAAUGUGGGUGAAUUAUAAUAGUUGAUAAGGGGUUAGAUUUUACGUCAAAUUCGGCAUUUUACAUAUAGCAUGCCGGAUCACUGACGUUAGGACAUAGUUAGUGUGUAGUACAGUUAACUCCAUUCGGCGGCAGCUGGACGGAUUAACUUAGGAUUAAUUUAGCUGUACGAAAUUAGGAUAGUAUCUUUUUGUUCGUGUUUUCAGUAGUAUACGUCGACUAGCGCGUUUAGUAUUUUUAUUUUUUAUUUUAAAGUUAAUCAAGUAGACGCGUAAUUGUACAAGUUACUCGCCUAAAUCAGUUGAUUAACUUUCAUAGGCACUCUGAGCGUUAGCCCGUUAGUCUCGUGGCGGCGGGCUUAGGUAAGGUUAGUCCGUAAAUUAGGUUAGACAGUACUUAUUUACUAAAGCUAGUUAGGUUUCGCCUCUCGUCGAGAACUCUCCGAGUGAGCCUAGUUGUAGGUAGGUCUAAGUUAGCGUACAGGCUGAAAAGCCUCUUAAUAUAUAAGAAUAGGAUUAACUAGGUUUAGUAAAGUCGUCUCGAGCGGACGCGUACGACCCUGUACCUCUUCGUACUACUUUCUAAGGUAUUAUCUGUAUACACUGGCUAACACCGCCAGAUCUAAAAUAAGUCACUUGAUAGUUGCUUGUUUGCGGUGGCUGACUUAGCUUACCCGCUCGUGCCACACAACAGAGGCGGGGAGUUGAUUUCCUUAUCUGCCGAUCACGUGCAAGGCGUAUAGUGUAUAGAGCUUAACAUACGUCCUAGGAUUUAAAUUUCUACCAUGAACAACUGAGAGCACGUCUUGUGUUCAGCUUAGUACCGUAAUGUUUGUAGUUCAGCGUUCAGUUCGCGGCGACACACCUUCGAUAGACUGGUAUUGAACACAUCAUAAUUAUAUAUAUAUAUCUUUGCCAUAUGUUUAGUAGGAACUAAUUUUAAGCGAAUAACACACCGAAACUAUAGUUGUAUAUAUUUUGCUUUUAAUAUCUAUUCGGGAAAAAUAAAUGUUAGCUGAUAUGAGUUGGGUCUAAAUAAGUCGCGAUUACGAUCAUUCGCGAGAGAAAGUCCUCUGGCAAUGAGGCCUUAACAUCUUGUUGUUUCAAUAACUUUUACUCUCAUAUCAUCGACGGAGUACAGAGUUUGUAUUAAAAGAGUUUUCGCGCUGCUUUCGGUACGAAUCCGUGAAAAAACGAUCUAGUUUUUGCCGAAAUACGCGAGUUUUGCGAGAAGAAUAAAAUUACUCGCCUCCACAAAAAUUCACACCUUCAGGAGCACUUACGAUCGAGAAAUUACUUGCAGUGGCACUUUCGAAAGCCAUCAAGCGAUUGCUUACCCGCUGCUGCAAAUAUACCUAGUACAAUGGUGGUUUAGACUUUGCCGAAACUUUCAACGUGUUGGGUACUUUUGGCUACAAUUUGGGCUUAUAUCAUUGAAAUAUAACAACUCAAAAAGAAAAAAAACUUAUAACGUAAGUUCAGUCCAAUCUUGAGAACAAAUAUUUUUAGGCUGACCCUUCACGCGUCAUUCUACCAUCCACCAUUGGAGUGUUAAGUGGAAAUUAGCGUACAACGGAGAGAAAUAUGUCAAAAUUCGCUCUAACAAGCGCGCAAACUUCUAUAUAAAUAGUUCUACGACAUCUUUUAAACGUUUUCUCACGGAGUCUAAUCAAAAGCAAAGCGAAACCUUCAGAUGAGGAAUUAAAGAAAUUAGUAUCAAAAAUCGUUUAGCGGUAUUUUAGACAACUUCGAUAAAAUGAUAAAAAAUAAAAAAAUAAAUUCUAAAUUGUUGUCUCGUAGUGUUUCCGCUUUGGUAAAAGUAAGAGAUAAAUUUCUUACGAUGGCUUUAAACUCGAUGUUAUUGCUGUUGUUGUCUGUUUAAUGUUUAAGAGUAAUGAGACUAAUUGUUAGGGAGAAUACGUUAUCAAACUCAAAAUCUUAAGAGUACCGUUUAGAGUUUGGCCUCAUUCAAACAUAUUAUUGUUGUGUGAUGCUUUGAACGUCCGAUAGCUAAAACAAUUAUUUCGGACUUGUCAGCCAAUUUGUCGCGAUGUUUACCAGUCGCCUAUUACAAGGACAUCUUUUUACACACACCUUGCAUUCGCAUUAACUUUAAAUCCUGUUGAUAAAUAAAAAACUUGUAAAAUAUACAGCAAUAUCAGGUGACUCAAAAUUAGCCAAAAUGACAUCCUCCUCGUUCGUCAAAUUUUGGACUUGCCAAAAUUGUCCUUGAAAUUUUCUCGCGUCCAUUACUGAUAUAUAACUUUGAAAAAAUACCAAAAAUAGACUUUGCCUCAUAUGUUACAAUAAAUCAGCAUCAAAAUUCCUUGAGACCACGUCAAAAAUUAACCUACGCAAAGUCACUUAAAUUCCAAAAUUGUUAAACGGUACUUUAUAGAUUUGAGGUAUAUUUCGGCACAGGUUAAAAAAAAAACUCUGAGGCUCUGCUAGUACUUACCAGAGAAAAUCUGUGACGGCACGAUCUGUGAUCAGACACGGCGUGCAGUAAUUGUAAUAAAGAUCUCUAACUUCAUCACAGAACGUCUUCAUAACAGACGUCGCCCACCUCUCUCAAAUCCAUGUACAUUCGCACACCAGGUAGGCCUCUUGUAGCACUUUUCACAUGUGUCGAUAUUAUACUGAGGUAUUUGUUAAAAUUUUGCUGCAACGCUUCUUAGAAAAAGCUUCAGGGGUUGUUAAAAGAUUGUUAAAUUGUAACAGAAUGGAUCUACCAACGAAUCCAUGAUUGUGUUGAUCUUUAAAAAAAAACUUAAAAAACUGAAAAAAAGACGUUGAGAUUGUUGUGCUUUCAGCUUAUAUUUUUUUAAUGAAAACAAUAAUUCAUUUGUCGAUUUUUUUUUCGGAAUAUUCGGUAGAAGUCAGCUGUUGUUUAUAAUCUUGAAGGAUGUUACAUGUUACCGAGUUGUUUAGUUCAACGUUAUUAAUUGUUAUGUCGUUACGCCAUUCGACCACUCACAGCUAAACAUAAAGUUUAAAAAAAGCUAAUGUACUGUAUCGCUUUUUUGGGGAAUAAGAAAAAUUUGCCUAUAAAAUCCUCUCUGUUGAGCAUAAGAUCUUCUCAAAUUAAGUCCCAUUAAGAUUCACUUUAUAGGUAAGCGAUAUGCUAAAAUUCUUCUUUUUAGAUGUGUAAAUUCGAUGUCUAAUUAUAAAUAUUAUAAUAUUAAUAUUUCGUCUUAAUCGUUGUAAAAAACUUAAUUAGUUGAAAGUAAAAUGUCUACAGCACCCAGUUUCGGUGUGUCAAUCGCAACACAUUGCCAAAUCGGUUGUCGCCUCGUCGCAGCGCGCCGAAAUUGUAUAUAUCAUAUAAUAGCGUUCGUCUUCCCGAAAUUUAACCGUAGUGUUACUUGAUUCGGGCUAACCAGCCGAUCUUGUAGCCUUCGAAUGUUCGAAAAAUACCAUCCAUUGAACCAGUUUUUGGCUUUGUAAAUGUCUGAAAUUCAGUUUGGGUUCUAUCGAACAAUUUUUUUGUAUUAUAUUCAGUAGUUUUAUAUGCCUAUACACACGAGUCAAUUGAUUGUUGCGGAAUCGAUGACUAAGUCUCCAAUGUCGCGAAGCCAGGAGUCUGUUGUGACUCGGGGAGGAAGUCGUUGCUUUUCGUAGACUUACGUUGGCUCGUGUGCGAAGGAUAUUGAAUAAUGGUACAUAGACAAGUAUAGGGAACGCCUCCAAUGACGUAAAACUGUAAAUUGUAAUCAAAACUUUCUUAUUCGCUUUCUCGGAGGCCAAAUAAUAAAAAUUGUAUCUAGUCAGGUUUGGAAGUUCAGAAAUGUGCAAUAGAAAAUACGAAAAUUCGGAUCAAUCAAGUUUUAAAAAUGAUGCAUAAUUAUCAGAUGACAAAAAAGAAGUUCCUGAUAUAAAAUCAAUAAAUUUUCAAAAUACUUAAAAAUCAAUUCUUUUGGACUUAAUAAAAACACUUAUCAUAUCAAACCAAAUUCAGAAAAUAGUUCAACUCAGAACCCAUUUAGCACAUAGUCAGAUACAUGGUCACCUCGUAAGAGUCCUAGUGGCCCUACACUUGUCUACGUGACUGAGUGUAAUAGUACCGCGGCCUGCCUUUUCGGCUCGGUCAGGGGAGACGGAUCGCUAGUAAGUAGUGUUAUCAACACCUUUAUUGUAAGUACAAGACGACGGCCAUCACCAAGAUGCCUUUAUAUUUGUUUACAAUCCAAAACGAGCUGACUUUAACAAGAAAGCAGCUGAGUGCAUUGUAUUUUCGCUUUUCGCUUUUUAUUCUACAUAUGUAAUCGUAUUUAGUUAAGUCCUGUAUCCAUGACUACGCCGACCGACGUACGUAUUUAAAUAUUUUGAUUUCAGCCACUGCACGUAGAUUUUAGAUCUAAGUAUAUGAAUAAGGUAGAUGUCUAGGUUAAGGUAGCUCCAGUUUUAAGAUUCAUGUAUCAGAUUUCUAGUUCUUAAGGUAGUGUUGUAUUCGUGUCAUCUCUUUAACUCGUUGUAUAUAUUCUUCUCGAGUUUACUAUAUUACCCACCAUCGACUGUUUAAAAACUGAAUUAUCUUCAAUUUAUAAUUACUCUUUACUUUCAACAUAUUUUUAUUUUCCUUCUCCUAUUAUUUGCCUAAAUUGGCCAACUUACUGAUAACACCCGUUGAGCAAUAUGUUUUAUUUGCUUCGUAUUGUAAUCUCUAGAUGUAUCGACUAGGACUUGCAAAUUUACUUAAUUACAUUUGAGCACAAAAACUAAACUAAACUUAAUUUUAAGCUUUAAUUUGCAUAAUUAUAUAUACUUUUAUGUAAAUGGAGAUAAAUCAACGGAAUUUGUCGCACAAAAGGCGCUAAAUCUGAUACGAACCUACAGGGUAUCGCGCGGCGGUGGUCAACGAAAACCCGACCUUAAUGCUUUAAAAUAAGUCUCUGAAUGCCAAAGUGUUGCCACCGCCUGCGGUCGACUGACGUUUUUUUAUCUCGGCCUAAGAGUGCAACUCUAGGAAACUAUUGUACUAAGUUAAUAAAUUGUAAGCUUUUCAGCGUCCAUUGUGAUUCAUUAAAAAACUAAACUGUCUUCGAAAUACUGUUUACAAAUCACAUUUGUUUCAGUGCAAAAGGAUUUAUUUAUAAGAUACCCAAUUUCGUAGUUUCCGGGUACAUUGUAUCGUAUUAUAUUCAGGGAAAUUUUUCGAUGUGAUAGUUAUUAGUAGUGUACCCUCUUUCGAAUAAUAAAUUUACUAAAAGUAAACUUUUCGUGUCUGUAA